GACUUAGAAAAAUAGAUCCACUCGCUUCAGACAACCUCAGGAUCUCCAAACUGAAGACACAAGUGACAUGACCGAAACAGGGUCCCCUCAAUAAGAUUUCCCAGAUACUGAGGACCUCAGUCUCCUCACCACCACGAUUCCUGCACACCGAUGCAUUCCUUUAAAAGCUGGAACAUUAAUGGCAAUUCCACUUUCCCAUUCAUCGCCCCCGCCCCCACCACCCCACCAAGAAACUCAGUGGGAAUGAAUGGUCUACACAGAGAAACUGAAAUCUGGUUAGUCAAGAAGGAAAAAACAACCAAGUGCCUGGCAUUAACUUGAACAAGAUUAUUUUUUCCUUGAAAAUUGACAUGGAUGGUCUGCCACUGUGGGCUUUAUCUUCAACAUCGUCUCACCCUUCUUAUUAAUAACACAAGUUAUCCACUUGUAAACUGCUGUUUUUUUGGGGCUAUCCACUUGUAAACUGCUGUUUUUUUGGGGGCACUGUCACCAUAAACUUUUGAUAAGGCAUCAGUGAUUUCAACAUUCUUCACCCAAGCUUCACCAUAAAUUUGAUGUUUCUUUUUGCUUCAUUUUAGCAGAAUUUGUUCCAAUAGGGGCUCUUUUCGAACUGAUUUUUUUUUUCAUUUUUUUCCACUGGGAUUUUGAGAAAAUCAAACUGAUAGCCUUCUUAGUGCCUCAAACUAGAUCCUGUUCAGACACAAACAAGUUAGUAUGAGUUUGUUUCAGUGAAAAAAAAAUUUGAAAUUCAUGCAUAGUUUUUCAUAAUGUGAAUUUUUCAUGAACUUUUGGAAGACCUUUUGAAUACUUUUUUAAUUGCAGCACUCUUUUGCACCAUAAAACUAAUUGGUGGCUUUACCAUUAAGAAGUUGAGCCAAGCAAACAAUAAUGAAAAUGCUUUAUGUGGAAUAAAAAUUUACACUUAAAUGCCU